UCAGUAGCUCAGUUGGAUAGAGCACAUGCCUUCUAAGCAUGGGGUCGGGGGUUCGAACCCCUCCUGG
rnacentral:tRNA from 1 species